CUAGGGUUAGAGGCAACCCGUGAGGCUAGAACCCCGAACGUGGUCGGUUGGAGCAAAUAUGUCCCUCCGGAGGCACAUUGGGAACCCUGAGUAUCUGAUGAAAAGGAUACCACAGAACCCGAGAUACCAGCAUGUCAAAUCAAGACUGGACACUGGCCGUACUGUUCCUGUAUUUCCCCCAAGCCUUGUUUCUUCUGCCACAAAAACCCUCAGCUCUUUCAUCUCUACCCAUCUAACCCCUAAUUGCAACUGUGAUCCACCCUUCUGAAGUGCCUGUGUGUAUCUUACCAGCUCCCCAGCACUGCCAGACUGUGCCAUGAAUGGAUUAUGCUUCUGAUGAAAUCCCUGGCUGCGUUUUGUUCAGUCACCACCGCAGGGUUCUUGUAUAUUCUCAAGCACCCUCUCUGGGUUUCUGUUUUGCAGC
rnacentral:sRNA from 1 species